GAAAAAAGUUUAUUAAAUUAAUUGUGAUCACUGUUUCACAGCUUAGUUCAUGGUUACGAUGAAGCAACUAUGUAUGGACAAUUAUGAAGCGUUGAGUCACCAAAAGGUGGAAACCCCACAUCUAUCCUCGUAAUCGAACGGCUCUUAGAUAACCUUUUACUGUGUCCUAACGCUCGAGUGUCCAGAUUUGAUGAUGUUUGGAGCGUUAGAGAUUAAAAGAAGAAAGAAAGCAGCUUUUUAUAUAUUAUCUGAAACUCAUGAAAUUUGCUCUCGUAAUUUGUCGUUAUUUGGGCAGUAAACAAAGGCCAAGUCCUCUAAUUUCUCAAGCGAAAUCCUAAGCAAAGCUAACCCAUGUCUUUCUUUCUUUCUAUUGAGUUUCAGAUAGAUGCGUGCGUGUGACUGAGUUUUGGGCAUCAGAAACGAGGGGUGAAAAGAAAAGAAGGGUUGAGUGAACCAAAGACAAGACUGAUGAACAAGGGUUUUGAGGCUUUGAGGGAUUUCAUCAGGAACGAGGGGCAACUGGGCUUAGGGAAGAAUAACUAUGAUGAUCCUCUGAUCCUUCUAAAAUAUAUAUGCCCUAUUACACAGAGAGAGAAUGGAAUGAGCCAUCCAAUCCAAUCUGAUUAUUACUUAUAUCUUGUCUUUUUGAGUCUUAAGCCACUUCUCUUGCUGGCUUUUUCAAUUAAUUACACCCACCACCUUCCCUUCUCUCUCUUUCUCUCUCUCUCUCUCAUUUACUGUGCUGCUAUCCUCGCAUAUUAAAUAAACCCAUCUGCCUCAUCUAACUCUAUCGUCCGAAAAACUUGUUAUUACCAAUUUUUAUCUCCUUAGUUCUCUGUGUUUGUGUCGUCCUCCGGUGGUGAAUACAAGGAUAGUUUUAGCUUUCAUGUGGGUUUAACAAAGGGUUUCUUACAGAGUUUAUUGGCAUUCUGUCCACCUCCCAUCUGUAGAAAUCUGUCUCUCUCACGAGCUCACAUGGAGGUGGGCAUACUGCCAACUGAGCUCUGUUGGUCUCUCUUUGUAAAACUCUCGUGAUGUAUCCUUAACUUGAAUCGGUUCUCUCUCUCUCUCCCUUAUGAGAAAGAUCAAGACGGUGGUAGUUUCUUUCUUGCUCCCAUGGCUUUCUACUCAACUUCGCUUCCAUAAGCUCAGGGGGAUAGAUCGGAAAACAAAGGAGCAUAUGUCUUAAAGGUGCUUGCUUUAUAGUGUAGUCCAAAGUCUAGCAGAUUUUUUCAAAUUAUCUGCGAAACAUCAUUCUGAAGUCUUCAGUUCAGUUUUUUUAGAUCUUCAUGUACGGCUUGAAGUUUGGGAAACUUUUUUAUUUUUGCUGAUUUUGUUUGUUUCCUUCUAUUUCAUCAAGCAGUGCAUACACAUAUAUGCUUCAUUGAUGUCGCUUUCGAUCUAGGGUUUCAUAUGUCCUUUUCUUUUCCCUUUUCAUUCUCUUGCUCCAAGCCAGGGAAUUAGGGCACAGGAUUGAAAUGGAUUCGUGGAUAUGAGGUAUGAAAGCUUGAUCUUUGCUUCUUUAAGUUUAGAGGGUGAGGGGUUUGAAUUCUCUUUGAAAAGACUCCAUCACAAGGGUUUUUGAAUUAAAGCUGUUAAAUUCUAAUCAUUGUAUGUGUAGAUUAAUUAUCAGAUCACAAUCAAAGGUGGAGAUUUCAUUGUC